GUAGCUGGGUGUGAAGAACGACUGCGAGGAAACACACCCGCUCUCAUGGCAAUCCCAGUAAACUGAGAAAACGUGAUUAAACCUCAGGAUCUCCUACUAAUAGAGAAACAAAUGUAUAACGAUUUAGCCACCAGAUAUGAGUAUUAAAGGGUUGGCAGGGCACCAGAGAAUAGAGGAAGCAUUGUAGGUUCUAGAGCGGAGAAGGGAUCAUCCAAAAUGGAGUUUGAGAGAAUUCUGGCCUUUGUUUAGAGUCUGGAAUUGUCAAGAGUCUGAAAGCACAGAAUAAGAACGCAGCUGGAGCAGUUAAGGCUCCACCGUUUUGUCAAAACAGAUACUGGUAGUACCUCCCCGUUCUCCAUUGAGAACCACUGCCUCAAGCUUGUACAUCCAGCCCGUGAGUGGAAAAAAAGACAGCAUCUAACUGUGGAGGGUCAAAGAAAGCCAGAAUGAUGCUGCCUGCCUUCUCCACGAUUGUCUGGGCUCGGCACCUUAGCACCUGAGGCUGCUACCUGAGAAGUACGCACUGUUCUGGCUUCAUGGAGACCGUGCUCCAUUUCUGCUGUUGGAGUCUUUGAGAGACCAGGACCAGGAGCUGAGUGCAACCUCCUCCCCAUGCCAUCUGCAGAGCCUGAAGAGGAAAACACAAAUAGAAGUUGAGGCCAUCUCUUCUCCUGGGGCCUAAUCGCUAAGCUUAGCAGCACAAACUCAGGAGUUCUUGUUUCAUUAAAUAAUAAAUAUGCAUCCCUGAAUUCAAUGGA